CAUCGCCUCUUGACUAAACAUAAGAGGUCCAGCCUGCCCAGUGACAUAGUUUAACGGCCGCGGUACCCUAACCGUGCGAAGGUAGCAUAAUCACUUGUUCUUUAAAUAGGGACUUGUAUCAACGGCAUCACGAGGGCUGUACUGUCUCCUUUCUCCAAUCAGUGAAACUGAUCUCCCCGUGAAGAAGCGGGGAUGAACCUAUAAGACGAGAAGACCCCAUGGAGCUUUAAACCCAUUAUACACCUCUGUAUAUUUAAAUCAACAUAACCCAAGAGGCUGUAUGCUGGUUUUAGGUUGGGGGGACCGCGGAGUAAAAUUAAACCUCCACGACAGACGGGCUAAUACCCUUAUCUACGAACCACAAUUCUAAGAACCAAUAAAUUGUUGUCUAGUGACCCAAUAUUUGAUCAACGAACUAAGUUACCCUGGGGAUAACAGCGCAAUCUACUUCAAGAGCCCCUAUCGACAAGUGGGUUUACGACCUCGAUGUUGGAUCAGGGUGUCCUAGUGGUGCAGCCGCUACUAAAGG
rnacentral:rRNA from 1 species